GUCUCCAUAGUGUAGUGGUUUUUUUUGCCAACUCAUGUAUUUUCCUCGUUCGCGCGAGGUCGAGAGUUCGAUUCCCACUAGAGUCA